GGAGUUGUGGCUCAGUGGUAGAGCACUUGUCUUGCAUGCAUGAGGCCCUAGGUUCGAUCCCCAGUACCA
rnacentral:tRNA from 1 species